GAUGAACGCUAGCGGCAGGCCUAAUACAUGCAAGUCGGACGGGAUUGAGAAGCUUGCUUUUCAUGAGAGUGGCGCACGGGUGCGUAACACGUAUGUAACCUACCUUAAUCAGGGGGAUAGCCUCUCGAAAGAGAGAUUAACACCGCAUAAAAUCAAUUUAUGGCAUCAUAGAAUGAUCAAAUAUUUGUAGGAUUAAGAUGGGCAUGCGGAACAUUAGCUAGUUGGUAAGGUAACGGCUUACCAAGGCUACGAUGUUUAGGGGAUCUGAGAGGAUGACCCCCCACACUGGUACGGAGACACGGACCAGACUCCUACGGGAGGCAGCAGUAAGGAAUAUUGGUCAAUGGGCGCAAGCCUGAACCAGCCAUGCCGCGUGCAGGAAGACGGCCCUACGGGUUGUAAACUGCUUUUGUACCGGAAUAAACCUUUGUAUGUAUACGAAGCUGAAUGUACGGUAAGAAUAAGGAUCGGCUAACUCCGUGCCAGCCGCCGCCGUAA
rnacentral:rRNA from 1 species